UACGUAGGGGGCUAGCGUUGUCCGGAAUCAUUGGGCGUAAAGCGCGCGUAGGCGGCCCGGUAAGUCCGCUGUGAAAGUCAAAGGCUCAACCUUUGAAUGUCAGCGGAUACUGCCGGGCUAGAGUCCGGAAGAGGCAAGUGGAAUUCCUGGUGUAGCGGUGGAAUGCGCAGAUAUCAGGAGGAACACCUAUAGCGAAGGCAGCUUGCUGGGACGUUACUGACGCUAAGGCGCGAAAGCGUGGGGAGCGAACAGG
rnacentral:rRNA from 1 species